UACGAAGGGGGCUAGCGUUGCUCGGAAUCACUGGGCGUAAAGGGUGCGUAGGCGGGUCUUUAAGUCAGGGGUGAAAUCCUGGAGCUCAACUCCAGAACUGCCUUUGAUACUGAAGAUCUUGAGUUCGGGAGAGGUGAGUGGAACUGCGAGUGUAGAGGUGAAAUUCGUAGAUAUUCGCAAGAACACCAGUGGCGAAGGCGGACUCACUGGCUCGAUACUGACGCUGAGGCACGAAAGCGUGGGGAGCAAACAGG
rnacentral:rRNA from 1 species